UUUUUCUUUUCCAUUUAAGCUACAAGUGGAUGCAAGUGCUGUGGGAGUGGGUGCUGUCCUGCUGCAGGAGGAUGGUGCAGGAGUAGAACAUCCAGUCUGUUACUUCUCUAAGAAGUUCUCUAAGUGUCAACAAAACUACAGUACCAUCGAAAAGGAAGCUCUCGUCCUGGUGAUGGCACUUAAACAUUUUGAAGUAAACGCUGGUGGUAGUUGUAUACCUCUUGUUGUCUAUACUGACCACAACCCUCUAGUUUUUCUCUCUUGCAUGUGCAACCUCAAUCAGCGUUUGAUGCACUGGUCACUUUGUCUGCAGGAAUAUAACUUGAACAUCAAGCACAAGAAAGGUUCGGAGAACGUGGUGGCGGAUGCACUCUCUAGAGCCUGUGAUGCUGAUGGUGACUGAUGACUGUAUGCUACUGUACAUGGGAAAGAAACCUUGGGUUGUAAAUUUGGUGGUGGGGGUGUUACUACCCUAGGAGUAAUUUUUUGUUGUACUUUGUGUUAUUUGUGCGGUGUUUGAUUAUUGCUGCUAUGUUGAUUACAGUUUGUCUUUGCAGUGUUUUAUUUUCUGUCUCUCUCUCUCCUCUGUGUUUUAAGCUUAAUGAAGAUCAGCUGGUCCUAGUUGUCAUCAAUCACUUGGUUGCUCUGAUUGGCUGCUGGAGGGAGAGCUUGUGGAUAAAGCUGGAGACUUCAUCUGAAGUGGUGCCCUUCUUGGCCUCUGCUGUUGACGGAGACUUCUUUGCCUGCCCCAGACCAUAGUGUGUGUGUGUGUUAAUUGUCUAUUUGCAUUGUUGUUGGUGUAUACAAUUUGAAACUUUGGAGAGUUGUUGUAUACCAGUAAACUCCUAAGGUGACACUUAAGUUGAAUGUUUAUUUUUGGAGCAGUAGGGAGGAGGAUGCCAUUUCUUUUAUUGUCCAUGUUUUCACCUGUUUUUGGCUAGAAAGGAAGUAAGCUAGCCUACUGCAACAAAACAUCAUCCAUGAUGCGCCAUUUGAGGAGCACUCAUCCUGCCAUUUUGCAGGGUGCAGACGAUGGUAGCAUUCCCCCUGUACCUAGGCCUGCUACUGACACUGCUGGGCCAUCUAAGCAAGGCCCAUCGUCGUCAUCAUCACCAUCAACAUCAGUAGAAACACCGGACAGUUUAUGGGAACUUUUUGAUAAUCGUAUCCAUGAAACCCAGAUGAUACACAAUGCUACAGCUGAUGCCACAGUGGAAGUGAAAAAAAUACCUCCAUGAUGUGUUUUUGCCCAGAACUCAUGAUCCCCUAAUUUACUGGAAAGAGAGUAGUAAUCUUUCCUCAUUUGUAAGUCCCUGCUAAAAAAUAUCUUUGCAUGCCAGCAACAAGUGUCCCAUGUGAGAGGAUUUUUUCAAAGGCUGGAGAAAAAGUAGGCUGAGUCCUUCCACAGCAGAGAAAUUAAUAUUUUUGAAUAAAAAUCUCUAAAAAAGUGAAACAUUGUGGCUUGAUUUAUUAAUAUUCAUUUUUCAUGACCAAAAUAACAUUAUGCACAGUGAGAAGCCUACAGGU